UGCAUCUAAUUACUUUUAAAACUCUUAUUCAUGGGGAGCAACUUCAGUUUGUGGCUUUUAAUUGACAGUUUUCUAGAGCACGAAGAGAGAAGACAACAUGGACAACAUGAUGGACUCUGACAUGUCUCCUGACUCCCGAACAUCGUUUCGCUUUGACAAAAGGAUCGCUUUCUUUGCGAGUCAGGACCUGGCUUCUAUAAGAAGUAAAGCAUUUGUGUACCCUCAAACCGAACUCAGCACUAACAUCUGGAAAAGAAAGGCACUAGAUUUCACACCAAAACUAUACAGAUCCAUUAGGCUGCCUCAGAAGGCAAAAAGAAUUGAGCGUGCCUCUUUGACAUUGACCAGCUCUGCUGGUAACCUGGACAGUUUCUGGAAAGCCAGAUCAAUAGAGCUGCCAGAAAUUUUUCCAAAAAAAGAACAGCCAAAGUUUGAAGCAAGAUUCAGGCCUCCUGAUGCACUUGGAGCAAGUAUAAUUUUUGUAAAAACAGGCAAAUACCCCUCUGAUGUCUACAAAGAUCCCAAACCUCAUGACUUCAGGCAGUAUGAAGAUAAUAUACCAGACAUAGUGACGACCUAUGAACGAGAUCCAGGCAAUCUGAAUCUCAAGUUACAGAACCUCAGUGCAAUCGACAGCUCCAGAUCCCCAGCCCCAGCGCUGCGGCAGAAAGGGCGCUCUGACAGAUUCGACACGUUCAAGCCGGCCGAACCCAAGUGGGAUCCGAAGCUAAUACUUCCGGAGGGACCCUGGCCUCCAAAGUCAGCUUCUUACACGGUACGUGAGUCAACGUCACGAUCCGUCAUCAUUUUAGAGGCACUGUGUUUUUACACCCAGAGCCCCCAGAUCCAAUCCUCCUCGACCACAGGGCCUUUUUAAGUAUAGACUUUAUGUUUUAAUACUGUCAAGGGAGCCUACAUUUUCAAGAACUGCCUCUGCCCGUAUUUGGUGAACCUACCUGAAUGUGUUGGAAUCUACACCCCUUCCAUAAGAGGAAGCCAUCUUGGCUCAAACCCAGACCUCCGGACUUCUGGCUCUGAACCAAGAUGGCGUCCUCCUGUGUUGUGAUUUCAUCACAAUAUAUAACAACAUUCCAGCAACAUGCUUUGGUCAUGUAACUGAUUACUGUACGUCUUUCAGGCAAAGGCCCAGAUUAAAUAAAAACUUUGACCAACAAACCAAAAGCAAACUGCACUUUUAAGUGCUUGACGGCAGCUAUUUGUUUAAUGGAUUUUCUUAAAAUGUCACUAUCAAUAUUUUCAGUGCAACAAACACUUUGUGUAAAAAAUGGACAAGUGAAAUUUGAAGUUAUUAGUGAUUAAUUAUAAGGUUUGGUGUUGUAAAUAAUUGCUGUUUAUUGUUUUUAGAGACACAGGCGGAGAAGAGGUGUUUAUUCUGCCCUGAUGGAGCGUGUGGAAGAGAAACUUGAUAACAUGUGCAAAAAUGUACCAUAGAUUGUCAUCAUUACAGCAGUCAUAUAGCAUCUACAUCAUACAGCAGUAUACUAUAUAUGCAGUAGUACGUACAAUGUAGUUGUUCUCUUCUUCAUAUAUCACUUUUUAAAGGUGAGCUUGAAAGUGAUUUUUAUGUGUUGUGUUUUAGAUGUUCUUUCACUGCUUCCUUGAUAUACUCAGCUCCACAAACUACAAGCUAGACAAGGGCGUGCUUGGAAUUCUGUAGGUACUGUUUUUUAGAUUAAACUGGAGAAUCUGUGAUUCCAAGAAUACGAUGCAUCCAAAAAAAGCUUUGGAGGUUUUGGAGGUUUGGGGAGACAAAAACUGGGACCAGUGCUGGAUUUGAAAAAGAAAAUAACCAGAGAAACGGCAUGGAAUGCCUCUUGGGUGUUGUACGUCUUUGUCCACCUGGGGUAGAUGCGAAUUCCCAACAAAUUGUGCAUCUGCUGCACAUUCCUCACACUGUGCAUUCAGUAAAAAUGAAACUACCUCUCUUUGGCUCUCACAAGGCAAGUGCAUUAAUACAGUAUAUGUAUUGUACCAGUGUGCAAUACACUAAAGAAUCUUAGUGCUCUUACUUUAUACUUUUAUUUGAUGAUAAUUAUAUUGCACAUUGUUUUCAUUCACUUAAGGAUGUUUGUAUUCUUGCAGUUCUUGUAGAGGAUUGUUUUUUAUGUAUUGCUUUGGAAUGGGCAAUGUAAAAACCUGCCUCUUCUAUGUUUUGAAUGGCUGUUAGUUCAUAUGCAUUACUUUGUCCAAUGUCAUUCUAAAAUCUGCAAUAAACAUUCACUUCUCAUAAAGUCUGAACCUCUGGUAACAACUCAUGAGCUCAAACAGCAUAGUAAAUAAUUUUCUUUGUGUAAACAGUGUUCUGUUAUUAUUCUGGGUUCGAUUCAUUAACAGUCCACAAGAUUUGAAAGGGAAUAAUAACUUGACUGGAAAAGACCUCCACACACUCCUCGUUGUGUUACUAAUUUCAUGGCUUAAAGCCUUAUUGCUGCGCUCAUGCAUCAACUAGUAUCCUUACACAUACGUUCAUUAUUCUUAUCACUACAAAUACUACAGUCGUCAGUUACAGGAUAGAUACAUUUCUCAGAUGUAUCUGUCCCAUUUUGGGUGUUGGAGGUCCUGGAGCUUUCAAACCAGCCAUGAUGUAAAACCGUAAACAGACAGAAUCAUACCUUCUCAUUAACAGAAUUGUCAGAACCCAUUAAAUAUUAAUUGUAAUCAUCUUAGACUAGAUUAUUGUCACGCCCUGUACACCUAGAGGGCACUGCUCUUCUGUCCUGCUCCUAGUUCCCUGUGAUUAUUCAUGUCUUUCCAGUUUGUCCUGUUGUGUUGCCUAUUUACUUCCUGGUUCUGCUCUGCUCCUCGCUCGGCAUUGAGGGAACGGAUGUCCUGAGACCUGCCUAGCACCAGGUCGCUCCUGUCUGUGGCCUGAGGGCAUAGGUUUCUAUAGCGAGGUUUUGUCUGUCCCCCUGAACCUGGGCUAACCCCUGUGUUGCCCCUUUUACUGCUACACAUAGGGUCUGUCCUGCUCUCCUUGUCAUUCCACGGCUUGCCCUUCCGACAUCCGUGACAAUUAUGAUCACAUAUACAGUAGUCAUACUUUCAGUAGUAAAUUCGACAGAAAUGCUUUUGAUGCCCUUUGAAUAUGGUUUGUUUGUGCCUAAUUGUUAUUUAGCUAUCAGUUAUCAAACAAAGAUUUUUUUUUUCCAAGUUGGUCAUUGUUCCAUGGUGGCACAGUAGUUAGCAUUGCUGCCUCACAGUGCUGGGGUCCUGGGUCACUUCUUGGGGUGCUCCUGCCUCUGCGGGGAGUUCAUACUGUGUGUUCACCCCAGGUUCGUGUGGGUUUCCUCCAGGUGUUUCCUCUUACAGUCCAAAGACAUGCUGGUCAGUUAAUUCGCUUAUGGGAAAAUUGGCCCCGCUGUGAGUGUGUGUGUCUGUGUGCCCUGUGCUAGACUGGCAUCCCAUCAUGCAUGUGUCUGACAGGCAAUUGUCUGGCAAUCGACUGGCAGUACAUCCAGGAUGUAUUUUGCCUUGUGUCCCUUGCUUGUCUUGGUUAGCUUCCAGCUCCCAUGCAACCCUCUAUUGGAAAAGCGGAUUAGAAAAUUGUUGGAUGGUCAGACAUACUGUACUUGCACUUGGUCCAAUUCUUUUUUGUAUCUAUGCAUUACUGUUUGGUCAGAUUCUUUAUAGAUAUGACGUGAUCUUUCAUUUCUAUGUUGAUGACACCUAUAUUUACUGAAAAUGUAUGUACACACAAAAUCAGGCUGACAUUAAUCAAUCAUAUUCUGCUUUGCCACACUGCUCAGAUGAUGUUAAAAGUGAAGGUAACAAAGCGUUUUAGUUCUGGCCUCCGGAAAGAUAAAAGAUAUAUUAAUUUUCUAUCCUGUGUAAAUGUGUCAAUCUCUUUUCACUAUUGCUGGUUGUGGAAUCAGUUCAAGUGUUAUUCUUGGAUGAAUAAUAAACGAUUUUUGAAAAGGG
rnacentral:lncRNA from 1 species